UGCCACCAUGGGAAAGGUGUGUUCUUCCUUCCUUUUUUUGAUCUUUCAAUCUCCCUGCUGUUGUGCACAUAUACGUGGCUCACGCCUGGUUGUUAUUUUCGGCUGCACAUUGUGGUGGUUAGGGUUUCAUGCCAGGGUCGUUUCUUGGUACGUGGAUGUUGUUCCUCGGAUGUGGAAAAAGAAUGGAGCAGGAGGAAAAGAGGAAGUAAAAGCUUUGCCACCUCCAUGCCCAUGCGCUGCUUCCUGCUCACCUGAAGUAUGUAUGAGUCAAGUUCCUAAUCCUACAAGCCAUGCGGCAAGCAGCUUGAUGCUGUUGUUUUUGGUAAAAAAAAUCCCCUAUUGUUUCACUGCUGGCCUAUGUUGAAGUUUGUUAUAGCUUGUUGUUGAUUUGAUCCAUAUGCUGAAAGCAGUUGAACUUAAUUUUUCAUAUGUAGAUGCAAUCUUUCUUUUCUUGUAUGGGAAAGAGCACUAGCUAGAACUGACAUAUCUAUCUCAUGAGGUGUGCUUGUGUUUGAUGUACUCUGCUAAUUAUGAAAUAUAUAGCUCUCUUGAUAGAUGCAUGUUCACUUCCUUUUUGUUUCUUUUGAUUUGUUUGGCAACUGUUGGGCUGAAGUGGUAUGUGAAAUGUUGCAAUAAAAAUGCCGAAUAAUGGAAACCAAGUCAAUUAUGCCAUUCAGAUGUAUCUUUCUGCAUAUCAAUCUUAGUCCAGGUGGUUUCCUACUUAGUGCUCUGGAUAGGAUAUAUGUAUUUUGGUUUUUUAUAUCGAUGUUUGUAGGGCGUGCCCAGUUUUCUGUGCAUUGCAAUACCUGUUCAGGUUAGCCCUGUUCAGGUUAGUGCUUUGGGAGAAAUACAUGUAUGUGUUCCAGGAUCCAGUAUACCACCUUUUCAUUGUUGUUGCUUGCUAAUUAUAGUUGCCAUUGUGGUUGGUGGGGAACUUAAUAAAUCUCUUUCUCCACUUUGAAGGAAAAUACAGUCAACCCCUCCUCUUAUUAAUCAUAUGCCUCCAUAAUGUGUCUUCAUAGCCUGUGUCGUUUGGUUACGUAAAUUUUUCUUCUCUGCAAUUUAAUUUUGUGUGUUUGGUAAGUCAACAAAGGUUGAGGUUUUGAGUUCUAAUGGAAUAUAGUUCUUCUAAUCUCUGUAGAGGGCUCAAGAAAGACAAAUUGACUCGUGCUUCAAGUACGAAGAAUAUAUUUUCCUUGCAAGAUAAGACAAAUUAGUAAGCUUCUAAUUACAUUUAUUAGACUCUGCUGCUACAAUUAGACUACUUGUGUAGGCUAGAGAGAAGUUCAGAAUGUGCAUUACAUUUAUUAGACUCUGCUGCUAUACCGUUAGACUACAUGUGUAGGCUAGAGAGAAGUUCAGAAGGUGUAUCCGUCUCAUAAGGAUAUGCUGCUACAAUUAGACUCCGCAUAUCUAUGAAUGUGUUGCUUCCAAAUCUGCAUUUAUCUCUCUGCAAUAUGCUCAUUUGCUAUAUAGUUUUGAAGUUUGCAUAUCAUGUAUAUUUAUUGUAUACCUCUCAUGGUUUUUUUCCUGGAUUUUACUUUAUGAUGUGUGUGCUAAUGUGUAGGGAUUGAACAGAAUCUGCUUAGACUAUUUAUUGGGUUCGACACUAAUAAAUCAUAAAUCAUGAUGAAGCGUUCUGUUAUGGUUAGGCCAAAGGCUGUGCUUAACGAUGUUCUUGCUGAAGCUGGUUUACCCAAAGUGAAGUACAAGACCUACGCAUCUUACCGUGUCCGUGUCGGGGCUACUAUUUACUUAUGGCCAUCACAGUUGCGCUUGUCUACGGCAUCAGUGCAUAUGGCCAUCCAUGGUGAACUAGCUGUGGAUGUUGCUGAUGCCCAUGCAGAAUGCUGCUGCUCGGUGCUUGCAGCAACUUCAAGACACCAUGAAUAUUGAAUUUGAUUGCCCUAAAAUGCAGAAGAUUAAGACCGAGAUGAAGUACCUUUCGAGCAGUGUCAGUGUGAAGAAUCGAAAUAUAAAGGAUCUAAAGACUAAGGUGGAUAAAAAGGACAUUGUGUUUGACAUAUUCGAGUUCCAGUUAUGACUCGGGAGUGGCGAUGGCAGCAUCAUCUGUGUGAGGAGUGCCUGCCGCAGGCGCUGGAUGCAAGGCUCACUCCUCCAUCAUUGCUAGAGGUCGCAGCAGCAGGGAUGUGAAGGGCAUUGAAUCAAGAUGAGCCUCCCCCUCUCUGAAGGAAAUAUGCCCUAGAGGCAAUAAUAAAGUUAUUAUUUAUUUCCUUAUUUCAUGAUAAAUGUUUAU